UACGGGGGGGGCAAGCGUUGUUCGGAAUCACUGGGCGUAAAGGGCGCGUAGGCGGCCGAUCAAGUCAGAGGUGAAAGCCCAAGGCUCAACCUUGGAAUUGCCUUUGAUACUGUUUGGCUAGAGACCGGAAGAGGUUAGUGGAACUGCGAGUGUAGAGGUGAAAUUCGUAGAUAUUCGCAAGAACACCAGUGGCGAAGGCGGCUAACUGGUCCGGUUCUGACGCUGAGGCGCGAAAGCGUGGGGAGCAAACAGG
rnacentral:rRNA from 1 species